CAGUCGCCACGGGAAUACCGAGGGUGCAAGCGUUAAUCGGAAUUACUGGGCGUAAAGCGCGCGUAGGUGGUUCGCCAAGUUGGAUGUGAAAUCCCCGGGCUCAACCUGGGAACUGCAUCCAAAACUGGCGAGCUAGAGUAUGGUAGAGGGUGGUGGAAUUUCCUGUGUAGCGGUGAAAUGCGUAGAUAUAGGAAGGAACAUCAGUGGCGAAGGCGACCACCUGGACUGAUACUGACACUGAGGUGCGAAAGCGUGGGGAGCAAACAGGAUUAGAUACCCCCGUAGUCCCUGUCUCUUAUAC
rnacentral:rRNA from 1 species